GAUAGAAACUGAAGACCAUCUGUACUUAUCAACGUGAGCGAAAAUAGGAGAGUAAUUUUUAAAAAUGAGAUGUGACUUUUAGGAGUAACCUGAUCGAUUUUGUACCAACAUGCCAAAGUUCUUCUAUCUUCACUUCAAAGUUUUUUUGAGAACAGUUGCUUACUAGACAGCUGUAGAAAAAUAACGGCCUUGAAAUCACAAAAUAAAACAAUGCAUACCUGGCUCCAAUAGGAUGUUUUUCAAAUUUGGGUUUUACAAAAGUCCUGGCUGCACCAGCUGCUCUGCUGCUACCCAAGUCAAGUGGACCACACCUAUUCCAUCUGCAGGGCGUUUGAAGAGGGAUCAAAGGGGCAGGAAUAAAAAAAGACACAU